UACGUAUGGUGCAAGCGUUAUCCGGAUUUACUGGGUGUAAAGGGAGCGCAGGCGGCGCGGCAAGUCCGAUGUGAAAACCCCCGGCUCAACCGGGGGACUGCAUUGGAAACUACCGGGCUGGAGUGCCGGGGAGGUAGGCGGAAUUCCUGGUGUAGCGGUGAAAUGCGUAGAUAUCAGGAGGAACACCAGUGGCGAAGGCGGCCUACUGGACGGUGACUGACGCUGAGGCUCGAAAGCGUGGGGAGCAAACAGG
rnacentral:rRNA from 1 species